rnacentral:rRNA from 1 species
UACGGAGGGUGCAAGCGUUAUCCGGAAUCACUGGGGUUAAAGGGUGCGUAGGCGGUCAGAUAAGUCAGACGUGAAAUCCCCAGGCUCAACCUGGGAACUGCGUCUGAUACUGGAUGGCUUGAAUCCGGGAGAGGGAUGCAGAAUUCCAGGUGUAGCGGUGAAAUGCGUAGAUAUCUGGAGGAAUACCGGUGGCGAAGGCGGCAUCCUGGACCGGCAUUGACGCUGAGGAGCGAAAGCUAGGGGAGCAAACGGG